GGGCAGCGCUAGAUCCUGAUAGGAAAAUUGAUCCAAAAAAACAAGACAUCGCACAACAACCAGUAGCGAAACACUGGCGUGAAGCACGACACGAUCCAUCUGCGUUCAAAUGCAUGCCAAUAGAUCACAUAAAGAAACCCCCAAGAGGUGGAGAUAUAGAUAAAAUGCUGUUAAAACGGGAGGCAUUUUGGAUCUAUGAACUUGAUUGUGUUGUCCCUAAGGGCCUAAAUGGGCAGUUACAACUUAAUUGUUUUUUGACUUGAAACUAAACUGAUUAUGAUGUUGAUACUAAUUGUGUCUCUUAAACCAUACAGGAAUGUGCCAAAAUAAGGUGUGAAAAUGUCUCAGCCCUAUGGUGAUAUUGUGCGCAUGGCAGUUCUGUAAACUAACAGAGGAAUGGGAUUUCACCGAUGUGCAUCGUUCGCCCUCCAGCAUUUACCUGAAGCAGCUUGCAGAAUACAGGCGAUAAAUCCACUCGCAAAAGUACAGAUGUGCCUUGAAGUAACAAAGGGAUUUGACGCAUCCACUGUGUAUAUAAUAUAUAUUUAUACUAUAUUAAGGUAUUAUGAAUGCACUAGGGAUCUAUAGUAGAAUGCAAUAUUGAAUUUAACAUAACAAAACAAAUACCAAGUAUGAUGGAUGGAGGCACAGAG